UACAGAGGGGGCAAGCGUUGUUCGGAGUUACUGGGCGUAAAGGGUGUGUAGGCGGUUGUUUAAGUUUGGUGUGAAAUCUCCCGGCUCAACUGGGAGGGUGCGCCGAAUACUGAAUGACUAGAGUGUGGGAGAGGUGAGUGGAAUUCCUGGUGUAGCGGUGAAAUGCGUAGAUAUCAGGAGGAACACCGGUGGUGUAGACGGCUCACUGGACCAUAACUGACGCUGAGACACGAAAGCGUGGGUAGCAAACAGG
rnacentral:rRNA from 1 species